rnacentral:rRNA from 1 species
UUGACCUCGGAUCAGGUAGGGAUACCCGCUGAACUUAAGCAUAUCAAUAAGCGGAGGAAAAGAAACCAACCGGGAUUGCCCUAGUAACGGCGAGUGAAGCGGCAAGAGCUCAAAUUUGAAAGCUGGCUCCUUCGGGGCCCGCAUUGUAAUUUGCAGAGGAUGCUUCGGGAGCGGUCCCCAUCUAAGUGCCCUGGAACGGGCCGUCAUA